GGGGAAUAUUGCACAAUGGAGGAAACUCUGAUGCAGCGACGCCGCGUGAGCGAUGAAGGUCUUCGGAUCGUAAAGCUCUGUCCUAAGGGAAGAUAGUGACGGUACCUUAGGAGGAAGCCCCGGCUAACUACGUGCCAGCAGCCGCGGUAACACGUAGGGGGCGAGCGUUGUCCGGAAUUACUGGGUGUAAAGGGUGCGUAGGCGGCCUUGCAAGUCAGAUGUGAAAGAUCACGGCUUAACUGUGGUAAGCAUUUGAAACUGUAAGGCUUGAGUGCAGGAGAGGAGAGUGGAAUUCCUAGUGUAGCGGUGAAAUGCGUAGAUAUUAGGAAGAAUAUCAGUGGCGAAGGCGGCUCUCUGGACUGCAACUGACGCUGAGGCACGAAAGCGUGGGGAGCAAAC
rnacentral:rRNA from 1 species